rnacentral:lncRNA from 1 species
UUAUAAUUGUUGCUCAGAGGAGAAAGUGAUGUGAAGUCUUUUGAAGAUGAUGCUGAGUUCUAGGCCUACACAACCCCCGGUUGAUUGCCUGUGAAGUUUGGAGUCUUUGUUUUCGGGAUAAGCUGUAUAACUCUGAUAAUCUUUAUAGUCUUUUAAUUCUCUUUUCGUGAUACUGUUGCUGAUUAUUCACUGAUGAAGUCACUAUAUGUAUGGAACUUGAUCCCGGCAUACAUAUAGUUAUGCAUUCGGUUUUAUCCUUAAAACCGGGUGUGACAGAGGUAGUAUCAGAGUUG